UACAAUCCUUCUCCAGCCUCUUUGCCAAACCGAAACAAUAACUCUGUUGAAAAAUAAAACAACUGAGAAUGUUUUGAAAAUAAAAUGUAUUUUUUAAAAAAAUUUGAAAAACACUGGAAGCUGGAAACCCUAGCGAUAUAAAAAAGUGAUAGCUCUGCCGUCGGGAAUUAGUGGGGUACUUUUUGUGGGACGUGCUAGGGAGAAGAGAGGAUCCGACGUCGAGAACGAGAGAAGUGAAAAAUGCUUGAAGCGGCCAGCCGGAACAUGUGGAUACGAAAACCAACCUGAGGGGAUCAUGAUGUACAUUCAUCCAUAGUUUUCAAUCUGAAUCUCUAUAUCGCCUGCUGCUGCUGCUCGUAUUUUCUCCUCUCUCGCUGUCUGUCUGUCUCUACAUCCCGCUCUUAAACCAACCCCCGGCCCUUGUGAUGACUGAUGAGAUUCUCUCAGCUCUGAAGAUGAACUAAGGAGGAGGGAACUACAAGAAGGACAAACUUUGAAUUUCAAGAAGGAGAGCUUCAACGCACCGUUUCAACAAGUCUGUAAUUUCAUCUCUUGAGCACGACUCCAAUCUGUACCAUUUCAUUAAAUCCCCUUACAUGUUAUCAGGGGUGCGCAAGGGGUACAUCAUUUUGAUUACGUUUAGAUUUUUCCGUUUAAAAUUAGGGAAAGUCAUUAUAGAUUUUCUUGUAAACAAUAUUUUCAUAGAACGGCUUUAAAAUCAACAAGAUGUCUGGAAUACAUAUGGAGGUGGUUGGGUGACU